CCUACGGGUGGCAGCAGUGAGGAAUAUUGGUCAAUGGGCGCGAGCCUGAACCAGCCAAGUAGCGUGAAGGAAGACGGCCCUACGGGUGGUAAACUGCUUUUAUAAAGGAAUAAAGUGAGGCACGUGUGCCUUUUUGUAUGUACCUUAUGAAUAAGGAUCGGCUAACUCCGUGCCAGCAGCCGCGGUAAUACGGAGGAUCCGAGCGUUAUCCGGAUUUAUUGGGUUUAAAGGGCGCGUAGAGGGGUUGUUAAGUCAGUUGUGAAAGUUUGCGGCUCAACCGUAGAAUUGCACUUGAUACUGGCAGUCUUGCGUACAGUUGAGGUAGGCGUAAUUCGUGGUGUAGCGG
rnacentral:rRNA from 1 species